UGGAGCUCCCAAAAGCUCUCUCCAAUCUUAAUUCCAGAUUUGAAGUAGGAGUUAGAAAUUCAAAAACCAAAAAAAAAAUAGAUUAAAAAAAAAUCAAAAAAACAUGUCUGUUUCAUUCAAUUAUGAAGUUGAUUUCUAAUUUUAGUAGUUGAGUUACCACUAUCAGUUCACUUUCUGGUGAUUAGAAGAUUCAGAGAACUUUCUGUGUGGGUUCGAGUAGUAUCAGGGCUUCAAACAGUCUGUAUUGGGUCAAUCCAUUAAGUUCUCGAUCUUGGGGUGUUCCUGGUUGUUCAAAAAAUUCAGUGUUGGGUCAAAUUUUGGAUUCUGGGAUUGCUGGGUUGUUGACUCCUCUUUUUAGUUGCUGAAUUUGCUCCUGAACUACGUUGUUGCAUUGCUGCUUCUGAUCCAUUAUUCUUCUGUUUAUUUUUUCAAAUCCCAGGUACACAUUCUCAACCUGUGUUGAUGUAACUUCGCCUAUUGAACAUGAAAUACAAGUGAAGUUUGUGUGC
rnacentral:lncRNA from 1 species